rnacentral:misc_RNA from 1 species
UUAACUAUUAUAUAGUACUCAGACAGUAUAGACAAACAGAGUUUAGGUCCUCUGGCAAGCGCUCGCCGGCCGGAGCCAGCAGCCCGAGGGCAGGCUUGCCAAAGCAACAAAGUGUAAUAAACACGGGUGGGAGGUUGGACCCAGAGGGCCCUCACUCAGUAAUGAUCCUUCCGCAGGUUCACCUACGGAAA